rnacentral:rRNA from 1 species
GACGAACCGUGCGAACGUUGUUCGGAAUCACUGGGCUUAAAGGGCGCGUAGGCGGUCGAUCAAGUUCGGGGUGAAAUCCUGCAGCUUAACUGUAGAAGUGCCUUGGAUACUGAUCGGCUCGAGGGAGGUAGGGGUCUGUGGAACUUCUGGUGGAGCGGUGAAAUGCGUUGAUAUCAGAAGGAACGCCGGUGGCGAAAGCGGCAGACUGGACCUCUUCUAACGCUGAGGCGCGAAAGCUAGGGGAGCAAACGGG